rnacentral:rRNA from 1 species
AUGUCCUGGUGGAGGAUGCGCGGCGCCGCCGCCUCGUGGAGGUACUCGAGGCCCCUCGCCGCGCCCAGCGCCACGCCGACGCGCGUCGCCCAGUCCAUGGGCUUCCUGUUGAGGUCGUCCAGGCACUCCCGCAGGUUGCCGUUGGUCAUGCACUCGAACACCAGCAGCCGCUCCAGCUGCCGCCCCUGCCGCUCCGAGCAGUACCCCAGCAAUGGCACCACGUGGCAGUGGUUCAGCCGCGACAGCAGCUCUAUCUCUGACAGGAACUCAUAGUCUUCGUCCGCACCGCCGAGGGGCCGAAGCUUCUUCACGGCGACGACUUUGCCAUCAGCGAGCUGGCCACGAUACACCUUGCUCGUCCCACCGACGCCGAUGAGCUGUUCGUCGGAGAAUUUUCCGGUUGCCUGGUCCAACUCCGCGUAGGAGAAUCGGAGAACCACGCCAGGGAAUGGGCCGUCUUCGCUCCGGGAGACGAGCGGACAGCUGCACAAAAACCCUGCGCCGACACUGAGCCCGGGUUUGGGUUUCAGUUGGGUAAGGGGAGAAGAUCGGUGGCUAACGAGGUUCGAUCUGCUAUUCCAGCUGGCGUACUUGUCAAAAGAGUGCAUCCUGGAA